AUCCUAACUUGGAGCACUUAUG
rnacentral:miRNA from 12 species